rnacentral:rRNA from 2 species
ACCUUCGGGCCUUGUGCUACUAGAGCGGCCGAUGGCAGAUUAGGUAGUUGGUGGGAUAAAAGCUUACCAAGCCUACGAUCUGUAGCUGGUCUGAGAGGACGAUCAGCCACACUGGGACUGAGACACGGCCCAGACUCCUACGGGAGGCAGCAGUGGGGAAUUUUGGACAAUGGGGGAAACCCUGAUCCAGCAAUGCCGCGUGCAGGAUGAAGGCCUUCGGGUUGUAAACUGCUUUUGUACGGAACGAAAAGUCUUGGGUUAAUACCCUGGGAUCAUGACGGUACCGUAAGAAUAAGCACCGGCUAACUACG